CCUACGGGAGGCAGCAGUGAGGAAUAUUGGUCAAUGGGCGCGAGCCUGAACCAGCCAAGUAGCGUGAAGGAUGACUGCCCUACGGGUUGUAAACUUCUUUUAUAAAGGAAUAAAGUGAGGCACGUGUGCCUUUUUGUAUGUACUUUAUGAAUAAGGAUCGGCUAACUCCGUGCCAGCAGCCGCGGUAAUACGGAGGGUCCGAGCGUUAUCCGGAUUUACUGGGUUUAAAGGGAGCGUAGAUGGGUUGUUAAGUCAGUUGUGAAAGUUUGCGGCGUAACCGUAAAAUUGCAAUUGAUACUGGCAGCCUUGAGUACAGUUGAGGUAGGCGGAAUUCGUGGUGUAGCGGUGAAAUGCUUAGAUAUCACGCAGAACUCCGAUUGCGAAGGCAGCAUACCGGCGCUCAACUGACGCUCAUGCACGAAAGUGUGGGUAUCGAACAGGAUUAGAUACCCUUGUAGUC
rnacentral:rRNA from 1 species